ensembl:lncRNA
CUGAGUCAAACCCUCGUGUCAAACAUGUACACAGGCCUAUGCAGUAACUGUAAUAUUGAUUAAAGUCUAUGUUUACCCAUAAAUCACUUGGGGAACACGGCUUGGAGACAUUUCUGGACAAAUUAUGAAAAUUGGACCCUCGUGGCAUCAACCAGCGUGGUGGAAAAAAACAUCCUCCUCAAAACAUUGGGAUGUUGCCAAGAUGCCAGUGUCCUACGGUCGAAAUCCCCAAACGCUCCUCACUGACAAGGAAGAUUUCGGAGAAUUUCUUGAUACCGUAAGCACUCUUCAACAGCUGAAACACCAGAUGGGCUGAGUAGUGCGUUGCUUUCUCAGCCCUGACAGCACGCUAACUCUUCCCAGCGGAGGAGGGAAUUCUCAUGACGCACCGCUCAGCCCGACCGUGGAUAUCAACCAGGCUGCACUCUCAAGAGUUUGGACAAACACGGUCCAUUGUUUUUUAGUUAUACUUUAGCUUUCCAAAAAUGUAGGAGUGCACAUAUGUCUCCAUUUGUGUUUGAAGGUAUUACUGCAAAAACAGCCCCAGAGGUAUUUCAGAUACAGGUUGUCCGAUGCUAGAUAUCGUGAAACACAGUUCGAAGCAAUUCAGGAUUACAAAUAAUGAAUUGAAAAUGAGUCCCUGUGUAAUAAGUCAUAUCAUUAGAACUGGAUUUUCCGUUUUCAUAAACCGAGUUUCUGUGUAAGAG